AACACGACUCUCGGCAACGGAUAUCUUGGCUCUCGCAUCGAUGAAGAACGUAGCAAAAUGCGAUACCUGGUGUGAAUUGCAGAAUCCCGUGAACCAUCGAGUUUUUGAACGCAAGUUGCGCCCGAGGCCUUCUGGUCGAGGGCACGCCUGCCUGGGCGUCACGC
rnacentral:rRNA from 1 species